UACGGAGGGGGCUAGCGUUGUUCGGAAUUACUGGGCGUAAAGGGCGCGUAGGCGGCCUUCUAAGUCAGACGUGAAAUCCCUCGGCUCAACCGGGGAACUGCGUCUGAGACUGGAAGGCUUGAAUCCGGGAGAGGGAUGUGGAAUUCCAGGUGUAGCGGUGAAAUGCGUAGAUAUCUGGAGGAACACCGGUGGCGAAGGCGGCAUCCUGGACCGGUAUUGACGCUGAGGCGCGAAAGCCAGGGGAGCAAACGGG
rnacentral:rRNA from 1 species